GUGGGGAAUAUUGGACAAUGGGCGAAAGCCUGAUCCAGCCAUGCCGCGUGUGUGAAGAAGGUCUUCGGAUUGUAAAGCACUUUAAGUUGGGAGGAAGGGCAGUAAGUUAAUACCUUGCUGUUUUGACGUUACCGACAGAAUAAGCACCGGCUAACUUCGUGCCAGCAGCCGCGGUAAUACGAAGGGUGCAAGCGUUAAUCGGAAUUACUGGGCGUAAAGCGCGCGUAGGUGGUUUUGUAAGUUGGAGGUGAAAUCCCCGGGCUCAACCUGGGAACUGCCUCCAAAACUGCAUGACUAGAGUACGGUAGAGGGUAGUGGAAUUUCCUGUGUAGCGGUGAAAUGCGUAGAUAUAGGAAGGAACACCGGUGGCGAAGGCGACUACCUGGACUGAUACUGACACUGAGGUGCGAAAGCGUGGGGAGCAAACAGGAUUAGAUACCCCAGUAGUCC
rnacentral:rRNA from 1 species